CCGCUCCCGAGGAAGGGGUGCCUUGGCCGAUGAGUGCAAAGGCGGCGGCACCGGUGGACCUGGCUUAUGGCGCGAGCUCUCUUGGCGGCCUGGCCUGGGGGCACGACAUUGGCUGAUGUCCUCUUCGAUUCUCUCUGAUUUUAUGAUUCGAAUUUUUCUCCAAUUUCCUCUUCCAUCGAUUCGUGUAUGGAUGUAGAAGGUAUUGAUUUUGGUGCUUGCUGUUGAGGUCAGCAGACCGGCGUUAAUUUUGUGCUCGACGUUUUAUCUAUAUAUAUGGUUGAUGUCCUUUUUUUGUACGAGUUUUCAUAUCAUGAUAUUUGACUUUGUUUUGGACUCGAUGUAGAAUCUGGAUUGGUUUGGUUCGUUGCUGGGUAUGUGUCAUGCCCGAGUUGGAUACCAGAUAGCUAUGAUCUUUAGUUUGCUGUGGCCUCGAAUCAAUUGGAUAUGUGGAGGGAUUUGGUCUUUCAGAGGAUGCUUUCGGACUACAGAGGGGGAUUAGUCAGGAGGCCAGACGAAAUUAGAUCCAGACGAAAUAAUUUUGUCUCUUUAAGAAUUGUAAUAUAUACAGACAGAGAUAUUAUAUAUAUCUAUAUGGACAUGUCGGACGGAACGGUCCGGCAGACUGAAAUUUUCAUCUUUAAAUAUUAGGGAUCAGAUAAGAUCUUGAAGUCAUUUAUUUGCUAAAAGGUUGUCUUAAAAUUGUAAAAAACAAGGAUCAUGUUACGUGAAAGCACACAAGCCUCCGGCAACACGUCCCAUUUUUUUGAGUUUAUUCAAAUCUGC
rnacentral:lncRNA from 1 species